rnacentral:rRNA from 1 species
GACGGAGGAUGCAAGUGUUAUCCGGAAUCACUGGGCGUAAAGCGUCUGUAGGCGGUUUAAUAAGUCAACUGUUAAAUCUUGAGGCUCAACCUCAAAAUCGCAGUCGAAACUAUUAGGCUAGAGUAUAGUAGGGGUGAAGGGAAUUUCCAGUGGAGCGGUGAAAUGCGUAGAGAUUGGAAAGAACACCGAUGGCGAAGGCACUUUACUGGGCUAUUACUAACACUCAGAGACGAAAGCUAGGGUAGCAAAUGGG